rnacentral:rRNA from 1 species
CCUACGGGCCGCAGCAGUGGGGAAUAUUGGACAAUGGGCGAAAGCCUGAUCCAGCCAUGCCGCGUGAGUGAAGAAGGCCUUAGGGUUGUAAAGCUCUUUCAGCGGGGAAGAUAAUGACGAUACCCGCAGAAGAAGCCCCGGCUAACUUCGUGCCAGCAGCCGCGGUAAUACGAAGGGGGCUAGCGUUGUUCGGAUUUACUGGGCGUAAAGCGCGCGUAGGCGGACGUUUAAGUCAGGGGUGAGAUCCCAGGGCUCAACCCUGGAACUGCCUUUGAUACUGGACGUCUGGAGUUCGGGAGAGGUGAGUGGAAUUCCGAGUGUAGAGGUGAAAUUCGUAGAUAUUCGGAGGAACACCAGAAGCGAAGGCGGCUCACUGGCCCGAUACUGACGCUGAGGCGCGAAAGCGUGGGGAGCAAACAGGAUUAGAUACCCGGGUAGUC